CUCGAUUAGCAUAUAUUCAAAAACACCGCCCACAAAACAACCCACGGGGAAGUUACUACGUUCCUAGGAAACGAGAAACCAGAGGAAUUGAAUUCUCCAUGAAGAACAGGGUUUCUCACGAGGAGAAGAAGAGGAGAAAAGUGAUUCACAAAUCAGAGUGAAGAUACAAGGAAAUUUUGCCUAAGAAGGAAAAGAACAUAUUUCUCAGAAGCUGUGGUCCAUAAUUGCUUCCAUCCAUGACUUCAACAGAGCACUACCAACAAACAAUGUCGUAAUCAGACAGAAUCCUCCCUCAAUUCCCUGCAAAAACACUACCAUGUUUGUUUACAUGUUCAGAUGGUUUCUGUGUAUGUAUUAUUUUAUUGGCAGUUCUGGAAAGGGCACAUUCUCUAGUGAUGACACUCUUGGAUUCUGCCCCAAAAAUGCAUCAGACUGCACAGGAUGUGUUGUUAUCUGCUCUGUAACACAUAGACAGUAAAUUAACUGCUAUCAGACAGAUGACAGACAGCUAAAUUGAAUGUUUGCAUAUAGUUUUCUUUAAUUUGCUGUGUUUCUUGAUACCUAUCUUUUCUGAUAUUGCUCCCAUAUCAGAUGUGAGUAGAUUAAGUCUGUCAGAACAAUGGGGAAAAUUAUUAUAGAUAGCAAAGUUACAGCCCUCCAUCAGUGGCAGACACUUUUCAAACUAAUGACUUGUAGUGUAUAUUACAUAUAUUCAAGGGCUCUCAUUUUAUCGUUCUACAAGUGUGUUUUAUCCUAUUAAAAAACAGAGAGAGAUUCAGAGCUUUCUCAAAUAUGACAGCAAUUUCUCUGAGUCCUCAAGGAGUUGAAAAAAAUUGUAUCUAAAUGUGUGAUACUUUUAUAAAUGCAAAGAAUUUUUUAGAUUUUUAUGACUUUUCAAUUCAGUACAAUUUGAUUCCUUAUAUAAAAUGAAUUUCAGUAUGAGCCUGAAGCUGAAAAAUAUAAAAGCGGAGAGUAUAAUUUGGGGAAAAUUAUCCUUUCAAUCAAAACUAGUAAGUAAGGAAAUCUAAUAGUCAGAAAAAUGCCAAAUUCAGUCUGUGAAUACUAGAUGACACUUUCAAUACAUAUCUCCCAGCUAUUAACUUACAGAAAAAAAUCAUAUACUUCUGUAAUAUGCACCAGUCUUUUAUAUCGAGCUCUGUCUAAGAAUUUACAAAUUUCACUGAAGUUUCUUAUUACAAUGUCACCUGUCAUGGAAAGUAUAAUGCUAGUGCAGAAUCCCAUGACACGAAUGCAUGUUAAUAUAGAAAAGUCUCUGUCCUCCUUUUUCAGAAGACGACCAUGGUAGGUUUUCAGCAUCCUACUGUCUGUUUACAUAGAAAAAAUAAAAUAAAACUCCUGUGAAUUGUUACUUCAUCAUAAAUUUGAUCUGUUGCAAAGUGCAAAUAAACAGAGAUGUUAUGGAAAAUAAUUACACUAAGGAGGCCUGUUAGUAGCAAUCAUUUCUGGAUGUAAAAGGACUUUCUUGAAUUACCAUGUAUGAUGGUGGUUUGUACUUGGUUUACAAAGAUGAUUUAUUUGAAGGUGUCAUGGAGUUACUUUACCUUUAAGGAAA